rnacentral:lncRNA from 1 species
UGACGCGCACGUGACAGAACGCGCUCUUCGCCGUCCACGUGAUCUGAAAGCCGGGGCGCCGAUAAGGUAGAGGGUGGGCACCUCCUACCGCUUGGCGUCACACGCCGCGACGGGAGCCUGCCUCGGCUCGCUGGGGGGGGGAGGGGGCGAGCGAGCGUCCCCGGCCUUUCCGCGCGCCUCUGGCUCCCGCGCGUGGGGCGGGGCCGCGCGCCCUGAGGCGUCCGCGUGGCUCUCCCCGCCCCGCGAGCGCUCUGUUGUGCGGGCGGUCCGCGUGGCCCUUCGUCUGUCGCUUCCCCUUCCCUCGCUCGGAAACGGGGGUACAACGCCAGCCCGUUGUAUGCUGGCAGCUCAGUGGGCACCGGCGUUUCUCUGCGUUUGGGGAGGAGGUCGCCGAGAGGAGCUGUAAAUGUCUGCUGCUGGCCCCAGAGUCAGCACAAGCAGAUAGCCCAGUGCUAGGUCUGCCAGCAGCUGACAAGGUAAAAAGAUGUGCUUUUCUUUCAUUCUUGUGAAGUUAGAGGCGGUGCCGAUUUAAACUGUGACUGAGGCUCUGCAAUGGUGCAAGUCUAUCCUACUACUUCAAAUUCAGUGGCGGAACAUGAGUUUACAUUAAUUACCUUUUAAGGAUUCAAGCAAUUUAAAGCUUUUGGACAAUGACAGUUAUCUAAAAACAUUCCUACAGGUUUAUUUUCUUCAUUUACAUUUGGUUGCUAUCUCCAUCUCAUUCAAAGCAGUCAGGACUGGGUUGCUUCUCUCUUCUCUGGAAAUUUGCACUAGGAACCAGUGUUAGAAUCAGAAUCCUGAUCUAAGAGUAUGAUGAAAAAUGUCGCACUCCAAGUUGGAAAUUGGAGAGGAAAAUGUUCAUGUAUUCGUAAGAAUUGUGCUCAAACAGCUGAUGACACUUUUUCUUACACCUUAACAGAUGCUUACACCUUUUAACUUUCUACCUGAGAAGCAACAGGUAGUUUCUAUGUUUCCCUUGGGGAUAGUGUACUCUUCUGUAUUUUGCUUCUAUACAAACAGUUCAAAAUUGUAAAGUCAUGUUGUCAGUCAUACAACCAAACAACCUUGCAUGGCAUUCUAUGUUCCCCCCCAGAUAGAUCAAGCCCUGAAUGCAAGACCAGACAAGUAAAUAAUGCCAACAUGUAAAACUAACUUGUACAUACAUUACUUUUUGGCAGGCUUUUUGGCACUUUGUGGGGCUUAACUGUACUUCAGUGAGAAGAAUAUUCUCUGGUGUGAACUGAAAUUAUACCUCUAUGCCACAAUUUCUAUAUUUUUUUUUUUGGGGGGUGGGGGGAGAGGAGCAGAAUUCCUUGUGGACACCUGAAGGAGUUGCAAAAUAAUAAUAAAAUUGAGGUGAAGGAAAAGUUCCUUUUCUGU